AUUGAACGCUGGCGGCAUGCUUUACACAUGCAAGUCGAACGGUAACAGGCCGCAAGGUGCUGACGAGUGGCGAGCGGGUGAGUAAUGCAUCGGAACGUGCCCAGUCGUGGGGGAUAACGCAGCGAAAGCUGUGCUAAUACCGCAUACGAUCUAUGGAUGAAAGCGGGGGACCGUAAGGCCUCGCGCGAUUGGAGCGGCCGAUGUCAGAUUAGCUAGUUGGUGGGGUAAAGGCCCACCAAGGCGACGAUCUGUAGCUGGUCUGAGAGGACGACCAGCCACACUGGGACUGAGACACGGCCCAGACUCCUACGGGAGGCAGCAGUGGGGAAUUUUGGACAAUGGGCGCAAGCCUGAUCCAGCAAUGCCGCGUGCAGGAAGAAGGCCUACGGGUUGUAAACUGCUUUUGUACGGAACGAAACGGUCUGGGUUAAUACCCUGGGCUAAUGACGGUACCGUAAGAAUAAGCACCGGCUAACUACGUGCCAGCCGCCGCGGUAA
rnacentral:rRNA from 1 species